AGCUAUUUAGUUUAAACAUCUUCUUUGAAAGUAGAAAAUAGAAUAAUUUAAUAGCUU
rnacentral:tRNA from 1 species